GGUCAUAUAAAGAAAGAUAACAAUUGUAAUAAUGUCUUAUUUUACAAAAGAAAAAUUCUAUGAAAAGUAAUGGAUUUAAUUUGAACUUAUAAAAUCUUCAGUUAUAUCACAAGAUUUACAUUCUUCAUGAUAUGCUUCGCUUCAAGAUCAUCGUCAAGCAAUAAUUGCAUUCCAUCGAAAAUCAAGAAAAUUGAUAAAAAGAGAUAGUACUUUGAGAGCUGAUGAAAGAAGAUGGGGAAGAAGAGGGAGAAGAAAAAAACGAAACAGAAAAGAAAAAGACAAAGAAAAAUAAAUUCACGUGCAGGUUAAGAGAAAUAAGAAAGAAUAAGUAAAAAAAAAAAAAAAAAAAAGAAAGGAAUGGAAAGAAAACAAAAUAAAAGUACCUCUAAAGUUCGCACGUAGAAUUUGUUUGGAGAAUGGUAUUCGGUGGUACGACAACGUUCUCAUCGUCGUUCGUGCUAGACGAACUCCUUGGCUGAAAUUAUUAUUACGAUUUCGAUUAAACGAAUUAAACGGUGAAAAAACAAAAAAAUUAAGAUCGAAAUCGCGAUGUGAUGGUAAAUAAAUCAGCUGUGAACGUUUAUCGACGCCAUCUUGGAGCUUCUCCCAUAUUUAAUUAACUUUUCUUUCCUAUUAUUAUUUUUAUAUAUUUAUCUAUAAAACAUUUAUGAAUGAUUUGUAUUAUAAACACAAUAAUAUCGCCACCAAAAGCACACCAAAGUCAAUAUUAUUUUUUCCAAUUGAAGCUGCUAAUAAUGAACCAAAACAUCUAAUACAGAUAUGAAUGAUAAGUGACUUUUGAAUCAUUUUAAUGAAAUUAAAUUUAAAAAAUUUGUCGUACAUACACACAGAUACACACAGAUACACACACACACACAAACACACUUUCAUUCUUUCUGAUACGCAUAAAUACGCGUAAAUCGUUAUUAAUUUUGAUUUUCAUUAUCAUAGCAAGCAUACAAGCAUACGAAACAUUGUGCGCAUGUAUGUAAGUGGGCUCACAUGUAUAUGUAUAUGUGUAACAUAAAUGUAUAUGGAGAAAACAAGCUGAAAAAUGAUCGAACGUCGGAUCAAUUUGACAAAUACAUGUAUCAACUUUU